rnacentral:rRNA from 1 species
CGCGCAGGCGGGAGGAUAAGUCAGUUAGUGAAAGCCCCUGGCUCAACCAGGGAAGUGCUUCUGAUACUGUCUUCCUUGAGUGUAGGUGGGGAGAGCGGAACUCUUAGUGGAGCGGUGAAAUGCGUAGAUAUUAAGAGGAACGCCGGUGGCGAAAGCGGUUCUCUAACCUAUUACUGACGCUGAGGCGCGAAAGCCAGGGGAGCAAACA